rnacentral:rRNA from 1 species
UACAGAGGGUGCAAGCGUUGUUCGGAAUUAUUGGGCGUAAAGGGCUCGUAGGCGGCCAACUAAGUCGGACGUGAAAUCCCUCAGCUUAACUGGGGAACUGCGUCCGAUACUGGAUGGCUUGGAUUUGGGAGAGGGGGGUGGAAUUCCCAGUGUAGCGGUGAAAUGCGUAGAUAUUGGGAGGAACACCGGUGGCGAAGGCGGCCCCCUGGACCGGUACUGACGCUGAGGCGCGAAAGCGUGGGUAGCAAACGGG